AAAAGCUCAAAUUUUAAAGCUGACAUCUUCGGUGUCCGCGUUGUAAUUUUGUGAGGCAUCUCCGGGUAGGGCGCCGGCCUAAGUUCCUUGGAACAGGACGUCACAGAGGGUGAGAAUCCCGUGCUUGGCUGGCUGUCCCCGUCCAUGUGAGGUGUCUUCGACGAGUCGAGUUGUUUGGGAAUGCAGCUCAAAAUGGGUGGUAAAUUUCAUCUAAAGCUAAAUAUUGGUGGGAGACCGAUAGCGCACAAGUAGAGUGAUCGAAAGAUGAAAAGCACUUUGAAAAUAGAGUUAAAAAGUACGUGAAAUUGUUGAAAGGGAAGCGCUUGAGACCAGACUUCGGUAAGGGGUGAUCAGCCGUCCUUCUGGGCGGUGCACUUGCCCCCCUCCGGGCCAGCAUCGGUUGAGGCGGCGGGAUAAAGGUCCCGGGAAUGUGGCUCCUUCACGGGAGUGUUAUAGCCCGGGUGAAUGCCGCCAGCUUCGACCGAGGACCG
rnacentral:rRNA from 4 species